GGUACGGUGGAUUCUCUCUGGGGGCCCGCACCUUGCAGGGUCUGCCAACCCCCCAGGCGGUGAACACCACUGUUCAGAAGGUCCGUGCCUUUCUCAGCAUCACUAAGGGAAGUUCUCUGGACAGGCUUUUCAGCAACCUUAGCAGCUUCGUUGAUGGACUGGAGUCCUCUGAGAAUGUCAAGGUCUGGUUCAAC